rnacentral:rRNA from 1 species
ACACAUGCAAGUCGAACGGUAACAGGUUAAGCUGACGAGUGGCGAACGGGUGAGUAAUGUAUCGGAACGUGCCCAGUCGUGGGGGAUAACUGCUCGAAAGAGCAGCUAAUACCGCAUACGACAUGAGGGUGAAAGCGGGGGAUCGCAAGACCUCGCGCGAUUGGAGCGGCCGAUAUCAGAUUAGGUAGUUGGUGGGGUAAAGGCUCACCAAGCCAACGAUCUGUAGCUGGUCUGAGAGGACGACCAGCCACACUGGGACUGAGACACGGCCCAGACUCCUACGGGAGGCAGCAGUGGGGAAUUUUGGACAAUGGACGCAAGUCUGAUCCAGCCAUGCCGCGUGCGGGAAGAAGGCCUUCGGGUUGUAAACCGCUUUUGUCAGGGAAGAAAAGGUUCUGGUUAAUACCUGGGACUCAUGACGGUACCUGAAGAAUAAGCACCGGCUAACUACGUGCCAGCAGCCGCGGUAAUACGUAGGGUGCAAGCGUUAAUCGGAAUUACUGGGCGUAAAGCGUGCGCAGGCGGUUAUGCAAGACAGAGGUGAAAUCCCCGGGCUCAACCUGGGAACUGCCUUUGUGACUGCAUAGCUAGAGUACGGUAGAGGGGGAUGGAAUUCCGCGUGUAGCAGUGAAAUG